UACGUAGGGUGCAAGCGUUGUCCGGAAUUAUUGGGCGUAAAGAGCUUGUAGGCGGUUUGUCGCGUCUGCUGUGAAAAUCCGGGGCUCAACCCCGGACUUGCAGUGGGUACGGGCAGACUAGAGUGUGGUAGGGGAGACUGGAAUUCCUGGUGUAGCGGUGGAAUGCGCAGAUAUCAGGAGGAACACCGAUGGCGAAGGCAGGUCUCUGGGCCACUACUGACGCUGAGAAGCGAAAGCGUGGGGAGCGAACAGG
rnacentral:rRNA from 1 species